CUGGCGGCGUGCUUAACACAUGCAAGUCGAACGAUGACGAUGGUGCUUGCACCGUCUGAUUAGUGGCGAACGGGUGAGUAACACGUGAGUAACCUGCCCUCCUCUUCGGGAUAACCGCCGGAAAUGGUGGCUAAUACCGGAUAUGAAUGCCUGCCGCAUGGCGGGUGUUGGAAAGAUUUAUCGGUGGGGGAUGGACUCGCGGCCUAUCAGUUUGUUGGUGAGGGUAAUGGCUCACCAAGGCGAUGACGGGUAGCCGGCCUGAGAGGGCGACCGGCCACACUGGGACUGAGACACGGCCCAGACUCCUACGGGAGGCAGCAGUGGGGAAUAUUGCACAAUGGGCGAAAGCCUGAAUGCAGCGGCGCCGCGUGGGGGAUGACGGCCUUCGGGUUGUAAACCUCUUUCAGCAGGGAAGAAGCGAGAGUGACGGUACCUGUAGAAGAAGCGCCGGCUAACUACGUGCCAGCCGCCGC
rnacentral:rRNA from 1 species